rnacentral:lncRNA from 10 species
GUCUGAGCCGCAGAGGCUGGGUUUUAGGUCACAGCUGCCUGAGGCCCACCUGACAGAAAGUUGACUCCAGGGAGACUGUUACACACUCUACUGGAGUGAAUUUCCUACACACACCCACAAGCAGUUCAGACAUCAUAGUCAUCUGAGGCACCAUUCUUUGGGGUCUUGUGUUUUUAGGAAUUUACUGGCAUGACAAUGAUACAAGACAAUCGCCAUAAUUUAGAGACAAAAAUACAUAUAUACAUACAUACGUACGUAAAGUUAGGGAAUCAAGGCGACUGCAAAAUAAUAAAAUCGAGGGUGAGUUACUAUAAGAAAUGCAUCCAUUGAGGUCCUAGUCGUGGGCUACAUGUGGUUACUGAUUUUCUCCAAGAACAUCCCUGGUCACAAAUAGAGUUAUAACUUAUUUCCUAUACCGGACUCCUGAACAUCCAGUGGAGAGUUCUCACCUUCUUUACUACCAUCAAAACCAGAGUUCAUGGUGAGAAAUGAAUAAGAAUGGGAUAAUUUACAUUUUUAUUUGAAGUGCACUUAAACUAAAUGAAUUAUUGCAGCACACAAUCUGGAAGAUUAAGAUAUAAAUGCUGUUUCUUUUAGCUCUUCAGAAAGCAAUGACAAGGCAUCUGACUCAUCCUCCUGCACCUCUUUUCAAUUACUGACUUAAACCAGAUUACAGUUGCUGUCAGGCUUGAAGACUGAGACUUACUGAUACGUGUAUCCUAGAAGUACCUGACACAGUAACACACUGCCUUACCUUGGGUAAGUCUUCA